rnacentral:rRNA from 1 species
UACAGAGGGGGCAAGCGUUGUUCGGAAUUACUGGGCGUAAAGGGCGCGUAGGCGGCCUUCUAAGUCGGACGUGAAAUCCCCGGGCUCAACCCGGGAACUGCGUCCGAUACUGGAAGGCUUGAAUCCGGGAGAGGGAUGUGGAAUUCCAGGUGUAGCGGUGAAAUGCGUAGAUAUCCGGAGGAACACCAGUGGCGAAGGCGACUUUCUGGCCUGUUCUUGACGCUGAGGCGCGAAAGCUAGGGGAGCAAACGGG